rnacentral:lncRNA from 1 species
GGGGAGGGGCUGUUACUCACACGCGCCGGUCUGGGUUCAGAUCAAUUCUGUUCUCUGGUCUCCUGAGACCCUUGAUUUAUAGGGUCCCCGCGGAUAGAAGCUUUCCCCCCCAUCAGCGGGUUUCCACUGAACCAGCAGCAGGAGUCCUGGAUGAUCCCCCAGUUGCGCAGCCCCUCCCCCGCUCCUUCCCGACCUGCACAGCAGCGAUCUCAGACUCUAGGAGAGGGAGUGAUGUUCUCUCCUACCGUUCCAGUGCCUCCAAGGCUAGCUUCUAAAACCCUUGAGAAGUUCCUGAGUGAUGAGGAUGAUAGGAGCAUCUUCGAUUAUUCGCAACAAGCCCCUUUCAACCAUACCUGGGUUUAUGCUAAUAAGGUAACUCUAGGACUCCUGAAAGAAGAUGGACCAGAAAAGAUGCCUUUGCAAUUAUAAGACUCUGUGGCUUUAGCUUUGACUAGUAUUUUCA